rnacentral:rRNA from 1 species
AGAGAGAGACAUGCGCGCAUAUCAAUAAGCGGAGGAAAAGAAACUAACAAGGAUUCCCUUAGUAACGGCGAGUGAAGCGGGAAGAGCUCAAAUUUGAAAUCUUCAAGGUUUUACCUUGACGAAUUGUAGUUUAAAGAAGUGUUUUAUGCUGAAGUUUUGGUAAAAGUUCUUUGGAAUAGGACAUCAUAGAGGGUGAGAAUCCCGUAUUUGACCAUUAUUUUCAGCUUUGUGACUACACUUUCAAAGAGUCGGAUUGUUUGGGAAUGCAGUCCAAAAUGGGUGGUAAAUUUCAUCUAGAGCUAAAUAUUGGCGAGAGACCGAUAGCGAACAAGUACCGUGAGGGAAAGAUGAAAAGAACUUUGAAAAGAGAGUUAAACAGUACGUGAAAUUGUCAAAAGGGAAGCGUUUGACACCAGUGUUGUUUUCUCGAAAAUCAAUUAAAAAUGGCUCGAUUUUGUAUUGUUGAGACCUUAAAAGCUCACUGUACAUUUUUAGUGUCUUUUUUAAUGCACUUUUCGUUUAACAAGUCAACAUCAGUUUCUUUUGUUGUAAAAGGGUCAUUGGAAGGUGGCUUUCUUUUCGGAGAAAGUGUUUAUAGCCUUUGGCCUCUGCAAUCGGAGAGACUGAGGUCUGCAGCGUAGACUCUUCGGGGUUAGAUACAUUUGUGCUAAGUUAUAGCUUUUUAUAGACAACUUGUUGACUAUAAUUAGUCUUGUAGCUUACUCGCUUAUGCUAUUUUACCUACGCUUAGGAUGUUGAAGAUGUAGCACAUCAU